GAGGCUGCCCAUCCCGAGCAACCGUUGCAUAAAGGUGUCGGUGGAGCCCAGAGGAAGCGGUGGGAAGCCUGACCGAGGCUCUGAGGGACGCUGAGACAGGUGCCCUCCUGUCCUCGCCGCCCGCAGGCUGCCCAGUCCGUCCCGCAGCCUGCACCAGAGGGACCUUCCCCGCUGGACCUUGGUGCCAGGCUCACCAUGGCCACGGCGAACGACAGAGCCGUCCUACAGACCAUUUUUAACCCCAGCACGCCUUUUGGGGAUAUCCCUGGGCUGGAUGAGGAAGAGGAAGCCCAGGAGGAAGGAGUCCCGGGCCCCAAGGUUCCCAUGUGCUGCUGAUGGAGGGUGCCCAGGUUGGGGCCAAAGCGAAGAGAGGGCAGAGCGUGUGGCCGCUCAAGGAUGCACCGGGGCUCGCCAGCCCCUUCCCUCGUGGUGGGAUCCUCGUCUGCUCCAAAGCUGGUGCUGAGCCCCACGUGCGUCUGUCAGCAGGCGUGAGUGGAGCUGAGAUGUCCUUGCCCUGGGGCAGGAGGCCUGAGGGGCUGGGCACGAGGGUGCUGGUUGGCUGUGGGCUGCAACCGGCCGGGAUCUCCCCGAGCCCCUGGCAGAGCACAGAGCGGGACUGGCCG